rnacentral:rRNA from 1 species
UACGUAGGGGGGCAAGCGUUGUCCGGAAUCACUGGGCGUAAAGCGCGCGCAGGCGGCGAUCUGCGUCUGGGGUGAAAGCCCCGGACUCAACUCCGGGAUUGCCUGGAUGACGGGGUCGCUUGGAGGAUCGGAGAGGCAAGGGGAAUUCCACGUGUAGCGGUGAAAUGCGUAGAGAUGAUGGAGGAACACCUGUGGCGAAGGCGCCUUGCUGGCCGAUUUCUGACGCUGGAGGCGACGGAAAGCGUGGGGAGCAAAGCAGG